GAAGUACUCCCUCCGUUCGGAAUUACUUGUCACGGAAAUGGAUGUAUCUAGACGUAUUUUAGUUCUAGAUACAUCCAUUUUCGAGACAAGUAAUUCCGAACGGAGGGAGUAUGUG
rnacentral:pre_miRNA from 1 species